rnacentral:rRNA from 1 species
CAGAGGGUGCAAGCGUUGUUCGGAAUUACUGGGCGUAAAGCGCGCGCAGGCGGCCCUUUAAGUCUGUCGGUCAAACGCCGGGCUCAACCCCGUGCUCGCCGCGGAUACUGGAGGGCUGGAGACAGGUAGAGGCAGGCGGAAUUCCGGGUGUAGCGGUGGAAUGCGUAGAGAUCCGGAAGAACACCAGAGGCGAAGGCGGCCUGCUGGGCCUUGUCUGACGCUGAGGCGCGAAAGCGUGGGGAGCGAACAGGAUU